rnacentral:lncRNA from 1 species
UUUUUGGUCCGGGGCGGUAAUACCGCUUAGGAGCCACGGUAGUACUGCUCUGGAGCAGUAGUACCGCUCAGGAGCCGCGGUAGUACCGCUCUAGAGCGGUAGUAAAAAAUUACAUCCGCUCUAGUCGCGGUAGUACCGCUGCAGCCUUCACCAAAACAGCCACAACUUUUGCAAACGGACUCCGAAUUCGAUGAAACCAAGUUUGUUGGAAAGCUAGCGACAAGGGCUAACACAAUCUUGAAAGAAAUACCAAUAAUAAGCAAAUGAGAAAAGGCCCAAAAAAAUGGUGAGAACCCUUCCUCGGAGAAGACCGGUAAAACCUCCAACACCGAAAACAUCAUAGAAGACGGAUGCAAACUCCGUUUUCGAUGAACUCAAGCUUGUCAUAAAUAUGACCAUAAGCUCUAAGACUCACAAAGAGAAUAAAACAAGAACCAAGAAACAUGAUGCAAGGAUGCAAUGGUUUGAGCUCUUGACGAACGAUACGAUCGAGCUACUCACUUGAGAGCCCCCCUUGAUAGUACGGCUAUCGAUCCUAUAACCCGGUCUCCCAACUACCACCAUGAGACCGGUAAAAUAGAAAACCUAUCAAGGGCAAACCUUUGCCUUGCACAUGGUCCACUUGAGCUAGAUGAUGACGAUCUUGACUCCCUCAAGUUGGACCACCUUUCUUGAUUGCAUUGGCUCGAUGAAGACUAGAUGAUUGCUCACCCAUAGUCCACUAUGGGUGAGCGACUCUUCGGCACAUCUUCACAAGUCCAUUGACACCACAAUGGAUGGCAAGAUUCAAACUUGAUUGCUCCCCCAUACUCCAUUAUGGGUGAGCCACUCUUUGUGUUGAUCCACUUAAACUUGCACACUGCAAACUUGAUGACGAUCACCACUUGAUGUCAUCCUCCAUGGGUUGUAUGGGAUCUUUCUCUUGACGCAAGACCAUGGAAACAUACCUAACCCCACAAAGAACUGUCACGUAGACCUUGGGUUAGUACACAAAGCGUAAUGGACAAUGCUUACCAUACCAUGGGAACACUUGGUCCCACUCGGUACAUCUUCUAUGCUUUGUGAGUUGAUCAACUUGAUUCACUCUUGACUUAGUCUUGAUCAACCUUGAAUCUUUCCAACUCUCUUCAUUUGGAUGAUGUCUUGAAGGUAAAUAUGAAUGAUCACACAAUCUUCUUCUUCAAGACAUGCUUGCAAUAAGCUCAACACUCACAUGACCAGUCUUUGGAUAAUUCCUUAAUAGCACCUUGGUCAACCCAUAAACUCCUUGAAACCAACACAUGGACUUCAAGAAAUGCCUAUGGAAACAUCCUUCAAAUAUAACUCGAUGCAACCAUUAGUCCAUAGAGAAUGUCAUCAAUUACCAAAACCACACAUGGGGGCACCGCAUGUCCUUUCGAUCUCCCCCAUUUUGGUAACUGAUGACAAUCGCUUUCAAGAGAGUUUAUAUAAGGAAUUAUGCAUCACAAUGCAAUGCAACAACCAAUGAUGCAGGAGAAUGAGAUGCAAAUGCUUAGGACCAAAACCAAAGCAAGGAGAAAACUCAGAAGACUUCUCCACAAAACUCUCUGAAACUCCUCCCCCAUUGGCAUCGAUUGCCAAAAUGGGUGAAAAGCUAAGAAGGCCAAAAUAAAAGGUGUUCCUCCAUAAAUUGUGUAUUUCUCAACAAGAGAGUGGAACGCAAUACACAUAUCCAACUGCCAAUACUUGGAGGAAGACAAACUAUAUUGAGGCCCAAAGAUUGCAACAAAAAGAUAUGACACAAAGACAUAACAAAGAGAGACACAAGCAAUCAGAAGAUACCAAUUGAAGCAAGCAAUCAACGGAUAUCAAUUGAACCAACUAGACCAAUGAUCCUACAUGCCACAAGAAUAAAGAUAUUAUGAUAAACGCAAAGGAGUGUUCUAAAGAAACUAGAGAAGCUCCCCAUGAUUUGUGCACACAUAAGAAUUUUUGUAUUUGAAUACAAAGUGCACAAAAUAGGAUCAUAGCUCCCCCAAAAUCAAUAGAAACUCACAUACAGUGCAAGUGAGCAUAUAGGAAACAAAGCCUAGCGCUUGCAACAAGCACAUGGUUGAGCAACAUGUAAAAGAGGCAACUUAAGAAUAGGCUCAACCAAAAUGAUGUGUGUGAGUCAUGGCGAAGCACUUGAGAGGACUAAAAUUAGGAUGAGAAUUAAGCAUCAACAUAGUCUUGAAAUAAUGAGGCACACGGUGCAAGGCCUAUCAUUCCCACACACACAACUAGCAAAUGGGUUCACAAGCUUACUAAUAAGCAUAUAAAGAACUUAUGCUUGUGACAACCCGUGGUGAAGAUAGAAGAUGAAAGCCUCAUCAAGACGAGGGAUGCCAAUUAAGAUGGCAAAAGCCUUGUAAAGAUAAGCAUGAGGAAAAUAAUCUUCACCACACAAGAGUGCAUCAAGAUGCAACGAUAGAGGACACGCACUCAAGGCAAAAGCUUUCACGGAGCCACCAAAGAAAUAACAUAAGAAAGACAAGGUGGACGUGAAAGAAAGGAUAUCAACUAGAGAUGUAAUUUCUCUCAAGUGUAUAAGGUUCUAUGUAGACGAAAUCAUGAUGAUAUAUAUAUAUCUACAAAGAAGGAUGUACACCCGAAAUAGUUACACCACGAAGGAACAAGAUAUCCACAAGGAAGUCAUAAUAUACCAAUAAGAUAUUUGCUUGAAAGCAUAGCACUUGGCUAGAUAUGGUCUUAUUGUAUAUAAAUGAAGUCCAAACACACAUCCAUCAAGGGCAUCACAACUAGCAACAGAGAUCAUCGUUGGGAUGCUUUGAGAAAGGAAACAAGUAUCACAAGAUAUGAAAUGAAUAUCAUGCCAAGAUACAGCCUACACAAGGUUGAAUGCAAGAGAGGAAAGCAUGAAUAGAUACUUGUUACCGAGAUAUCAUUGGAAGGAUGUAGUAGAUACCAAUUGAAGGUAGAUAGUAGUUCAUUGAUCAUCCUAGCUUAACUCCAAUAUGCACAUGGUGACAACACCUUCCUUGUGAGUGAGCCGAGCAUCCAAUGCAUCUCCAAAUGUUCCUAGAAGAACAACACAAACUAAACGGUACCCAAACUCAUCGGGACCAAAUAGUUAGAAACACCAAUACAUAGGACAAACUCCACAUAAAUAUGUGCAUAUAGAUAUGAAAAUGAAUUUCAUGCACAUCUCAUCCAAAUUGAGACUAGGUGGAGUUUCCCCUAUAUAUUGAGUCAAAGAAAGAAAGCAUGCCAAAUGAAAUACAUGAAGUAAACAUGCAUGCUCAAGACUUUCAAAACCCGAAACCAAAAGACGAAGAAAUUCCAAGUGAAAAGGAUACUAAAUGGAGAAAUCAUCACUUGGAAGAUAUCAUUAAAUAUACAUCAAGGAAUGAGAUAUCCAUUGAUACACACUAAACUAAAGAUGUCAAACUCCCAAAGAGAGGAUGGUUCCAAACAAACCAAGCCCUCAACAAAGUUUCAUGAUGGCACAAAGUACCAAAAAGAAAUGGCUUGCCUUCCACCAAAACACACUUGAUAAGGAUCACAAGAAGAGUGUUCUGAAGAAAAUAGAAUAGCUCCCCCACGAGUUGUGCAUUAUACAUGAUUUGUAUUUGAAUACAAAAUGCACAAGGUGGGAUCACCGCUUUCACUAUAUCUAGAAAACACUAGACAGGAACAAGAAAUAAACAAGAUCCACAAGUGGUAUGGAAGACAACGGGAGUUGACACAAUCCUUGGCAAGAGAAGAGGCAAGUAAAACAAAAGCCAAUGUAAAGAUGAUCAAUAAAUUCUACCACAGAUAAGUGACUACCAAUUGUCAAAAGACAAUAAGUAGAUGGAAAGAAUUCCCGGUGGUAGAUAGCAAGGAUAUCCAACAUCAUCUUCACACCACACACAAGCAGAUUGCAACUUGUAGAGCUAACAUGCCACCUAGGAACAAGAUAAUCUACAAUAUCAACACUAGGUGACAAUAUCUCAAAUGUACACAUUUUCUAGGCUAGUAAUAUGCAUAGUAUAUUACUCCCCCAUAAUGUGAUACCAAUGAAGAAAACUUAACAAGAGGCAAUAAGAGGAUCCAACAAGAGAUAAUUAAUGGACAAUUUAGAAUUUGAAUUUCUCAUGAGAAGACAUACCACAUAGUGACUAGAUAAUCUUGUAAUAUCAAUACUAGAUGGUAUUCCUCAUGUACACACACUUAUAGGAGUGUGAGGUGCACAAAGCACAUCACUCCCCAAUAAUGGGAUAUUCCAUUAAUCUCUCACAAGAGCCAACUAAGAUACAAAGAAGAUGCACAAAGGCUCAACACACAACUCACACGUACAUGAAGUGCACACCAACAUACAUAAGCAAGUUGGAAGCGCAACAUAUACAAACACAUGCAAGGAACAAAACCAAAACAUGCAAGGGGGCAACUAACUUUCAAAGUAAACAAUUUAAGUACAAGUUACCGCAAGGAGGCACAUUGGAUAUAAGAUAGAAAUUUGAUAAUCCAAUUAACUUGGCUUGUGACAAAAAGAAUGAUGAAGUCCCCUUAAUUCUUCAUAAUGUAGCCAAGUCUCCAAUGCCCUCCAAAAACACCUAUUGAUCAAGUUUGAGCUUGUUGGUCCCCAACCAAGUUGGGUCCUAAGAGGUUAGUCACAAUAGGCUUGGCUACCCAAAUGGUUCUUUUCUUGACACCACUUUGAGUACCAACAAACUUGGCAAACACAUUGCCAACCUUAUCCUUCCCAAGAGAAUAGAUAUCAUCAAUAAUAAUUGGGUUGGAUAAGUUACCACUAGUGCAUGAAGAAGCGACGUGACCUUUAUCACGACAUAAGUAGCAACGUCUACCCUUCACUUUCUUCUCACUUGAUUUUUCCACAAGAGAAGCAUUAGCUUGAGUCUUCUUGGGAAGUGGCCUUACUUCAACUUGAGGUUGAGCAUGAGAUUGAACUUUUGCCCUCUUCCCUUGUUGCUUGACACUAAUGGCCUUCUUCUUCAAUGGGCAAGAUCUAACAUGAUGCCCUUCUACUUUGCACUUCAAGCAAACAAUCUUGGCCGAAUUCUUGACUUGUUAUUGGCCCUUAUUUUUGUUCAUGUUGGACUUCUUCUUCUUAUUGGAGUUGAAUCCAAGUGCACCUUUGUCAUUGGGGGAUUUUUGCACACUCAAGAUAUUGUUGAGUGCGGAUUUCCCUUCAUGACACUUUUUCAAGUCUUUCUUCAAAGAAGUGACUUGGGCCUUGAGCUCUUUGAUUUCCUCUACAUGGUUAGUCUCAACACAAGUACUAGAGGAAGUAUAAGCUUCAUCGUUAGAGCAACAAGGCAAGGAAAUCAAUUCAUCACAAGAUGUACCAACAUUGUGAGUAGAUGAAUUACAAGGACUAGCACAUGGCAAUAUACUAUUCUGACUAGAAGUAGUGCUAGUAUCCACAUGAGGCUCACUAGAUGUUACCUUAGCAAUCAUGGCCUCAUGAGCUAUCUUUAGCACACUAUGGGAUACUAGAAGAUCAUCAUGAGAGCUUGAGAGCUUUUCAUGACUUUCUUCCAAUUUCCCAUAAUUGCAAGAUAGCACCUCAAGUUGAGCCCGUAGCUCAACAUUCUCCUUCAAAAUGGAUGCUUCACAAGUAAUAGAAUUAGUAGCACAAGCAUCAUCAUUAACAACAAGAGGAGAAGGCAACUUGGCAUGCUCUUUUAAAUAAGAAGCUUCAAGUUGAGCAUGAGACUCGGUGAGUUUGAUGAGCUCACCCUUGAUGACCCUUGAGCCAUUUUCGAGGUGCUCAAAAUCCUCAAGGAGUCUAGCAUGAGCAACUUCAAGCUUAGCAUUUUUAGUUUCAAAAACAUUGGCCACCUCAAGGGCUCUAUCAGUAGAUUCCUUCACUCUAGACAAUUCUAGAGCAAAAGUCUCCUCAAGAGAUUCCUUGGUGGUUUGUUCAAGUUCAAGAGCUUGAGAGAGGUCCGCAAUCUCAUUAGCGUAAUCACGCCCAUGACCUUCCAUUUUAUCAAUGGUGACCUCAUGCUCCUCAAGACGAGAUUCCAACUCAUCAAUAUAUUUCUUGCUCUCAAUAGCAAUGGACAUAAUUUCCAUGAAGUUGGAACGAGCAAUUUUAUUUUUAUGAAGAGCUUUAAAAACCAUUUCCCCCUUAAUUUUUUAAGGAGGCAACAUUAUCAUUCUCUUCAUCAUUAUCCUCAUCAUCAUUAGCAUCAACAUCAUCAUAAAGAGACAUAUUGGGGUACAAAGUAGGAGAUACCUUUGACGCCUUAGCCAUAAGGCAAAACGCAAUAGAUGAUGAUGUAGGAUCCCUUGAGGCACCAUUAAACACCACAUCUUGUUCCAUGGAGUGUUCGGUUUCCUCUACAUUGUUAGCACAACAAUUCGAGGAAAUAGAUGCAUUUUUAUCAUGGCAACAAGACAUACCAAGCAUAUCAUCAUGAUAUUUAGUCAAGCAAUUUCUACAUGAUACGCAAGGACUAUUAAUACAAGCAUGUGAAACAUUUGGAGUGCUCGAAGUGUUAAAGCCCAAAGAGGGAGCAUUGCAAUAAUAUAGUGAUGAAGGAUCAUCCACAAUAAGCAUACUAUCAUCAUUGCAAUGACCAACACUACUCACCAUAUCAUUACCUUGUGGCAAACCACAUGUAGGUGAAGUAGAAGAAGUUGAGAAGACUAUAUGACCGGAGGUGGAGGGAGAACAACCAUCCCCACAAAUCUUGGACACACCAUAUUUAUCUUGAAGCUUUGUCCAUAACUCAUGAGCAUCCCGGAACGGCAUGAGUUGAAAUAUAACUACAUUGCUUAAAGCAUCGAAAAGCACAUUAGAGGCUUGAGCAUUGAGAUAAGAGUUUUUCUCAUCCUCUAAAGAUAAUCUUUGGGGAUCCUUUGGAGGAGAAAAACCCAUAUCUACAAUUCGCUCUAAAUUUGGGUCCAUGACCCUAAAGAGAUUAAGCAUGCGAAUUACCCAAACAUCAAAAUUUGUGCCAUCGAAACUAAGAAUGUCAGAGAAUCCUAAUCCUCUAGUCGACAUCUUUACUCUCUAGGCGUUUAAGCCCAACAAAGAGAGACGAGGCUCUGAUACCAAUUGAAAGAUCGAGGAUGUCGCCUAGAGGGGGGGGGGGUGAAUAGGCGCUUUAAAAUAAUUACGGUUUAGGCUUGAACAAAUGCGGAAUAAACCUAACGGUUAAUUUGUCAAGCACAAAACCUAAAACAACUAGGCUCACCUAUGUGCAGCAACAACUUAUGCUAAGCAAGAUAAGCAACUAUGUGAUAGCAAGAUAUAUGACAAAGAACAAUAUGGCUAUCACAAAGUAAAGUGCAUAAGUAAAGGGCUCGGGUAAGAGAUAACCGAGGCACGCGGAGACGAUGAUGUAUCCCGAAGUUCACACCCUUGCGGAUGAUAAUCUCCGUUUAGAGCGGUGUGGAGGCACAAUGCUCCCCAAGAAGCCACUGGGCCACCGUAAUCUCCUCACGCCCUCGCACAAUGCAAGAUGCCAUGAUUCCACUAAGGGACCCUUGAGGGCGGUCACCGAACCCGUACAAAUGGCAACCCUUGGGGGCGGUCGCCAAACCCGUACACUUUGGCAACCCUUGGGGGCGGUCACCGGAACCCGUCAAGAUGCUCGGGGCGAUCUCCACAACCUAAUUGGAGACCCCGACGCUUGGCCGGAGCUUUACACCACAAUGAUUGAGCUCCGAACACCACCAACCGUCUAGGGCGCCCAAGCACCCAAGAGGAACAAGCUCAAAGGCACCAAGCACCCAAGAGUAAUAAGCUUCUCAAACUUCACUUCCACGUAUCACCGUGGAGAACUCAAACUGAUGCACCAAAUGCAAUGGCAAGGGCACACGGAGUGCCCAAGUCCUUCUCUCUCAAAUCCCACCGAAGCAACUAAUGCUAGGGAGGAAAAUCAGAGGAAGAACAAGAAGGAGAACACCAAGAACUCCAAGAUCAAGAUCCAAGGGGUUCCCCUCACAUAGAGGAGAAAGUGAUUGGUGGAAAUGUGGAAAUAGAUCUCCUCUCUCUUUUCCCUCAAAAACUAGCAAGAAUCCAUGGAGGGAUUGAGAGUUAGCAAGCUCGAAGAAGGUCAACAAUGGGGGAAGAACACGAGCUCAAAGGAUAAGGUUCAAUGGGGAAGAAUACCCCCUUUUAUAGGACCUCCCGAAUCCAACUGUUAUGUGCUCAGGUCGUGCACAAGCGGUACUACCGCUUGGAGGAGCGGUACUACCGCUUAGCACGCUCAAAACAGCCCAAACGAGAGAGAAAACACGAGUUUUUGGUCCGGGGCGGUACUACCGCUUAGGAGCCACGGUAGUACUUCUCUGGAGCAGUAGUACCGCUCAGGAGCCGCGGUAGUACCGCUCUAGAGCGGUAGUAAAAAAUUACAUCCGCUCUAGUCACGGUAGUACCGCUGCAGCCUUCACCAAAACAGCCACAACUUUUGCAAACGGACUCCGAAUUCGAUGAAACCAAGUUUGUUGGAAAGCUAGCGACAAGGGCUAACACAAUCUUGAAAGAAAUAACAAUAAUAAGCAAAUGAGAAAAGACCCAAAAGAAAAUGGUGAGAACCCUUCCUCGGAGAAGACCGAUAAAACCUCCAACACCGAAAACAUCAUAGAAGACGCAUGCAAACUCCAUUUUCGAUGAACUCAAGCUUGUCAUAAAGACGACCAUAAGCUCUAAGACUCACAAAGAGAAUCAAACAAGAACCAAGAAACAUGAUGCAAGGAUGCAAUGGUUUGAGCUCUCGAUGAACGAUACGAUCGAGCUACUCACUUGAGUGCCCCCCUUGAUAGUACGGCUAUCGAUCCUAUAACCCAGUCUCCCAACUACCACCAUGAGACCGGUAAAAUAGAAAACCUAUCAAGGGCAAACCUUUGCCUUGCACAUGGUCCACUUGACCUAGAUGAUGACGAUCUUGACUUCCUCAAGUUGGACCACCUUUCUUGAUUGCAUUGGCUCGAUGAAGACUAGAUGAUUGCUCCCCCAUAGUCCACUAUGGGUGAGCGACUCUUCGGCACA